rnacentral:lncRNA from 1 species
UUUAAAGUUGCAUGACCCCUGUUACCCUAUAUAUAAAUCAAUCCUCUUAUACUUUUAACAACGUUGAUACUCAAACUUACAAUCUUGCACUAGGUGCCGAGUGCAUUAAAGUAUAACUCAUGUAUUUAUUAUAGCAUAGCCAAGUUUCAUAAUCUUCUUCUCGAUAUGGGCAUGGUAUUGUUGUGUACUAUUUCUAAUCCCAUUUGUUAAUCUAAUUUCUUUUAUAUAUAUAAUCUUUAGAAUCCUACUCAUAUUUGGCUAAUACCAAAUUUUCAUUAACUUUUUCAGGACACAAGCACAAAUUUGGAUAUGAGCAAGAAACUAUAUUAAUUAGUUCAUUCUUUGAUUCUCUUGUUAUUCUUUUUCUUAUUUACUUGUGGUUGAAACUAUGUGAAUGUGAUAAUGCAUAUACUUUGUACCACAUAUUUUAAAUUUUAAAAUAUAAAAUAAAAUCUAGCUAUGUCUUGAAAAAAGCUAAAAUUGAAAAGGCAAAGGGUAAAGAGAGCAUCAACAUGCCAGUCAAUGUAGAUAAAGAGAGCAAUUCAUACCACCACCACCUUAUCCAUUUAUUAUCAUAGUAUCAUAUCCUCCAUCCUUUGCCAUUCAUCCCUUACAUUGCAAAACUCACCCUUUAUUUUAAAUUCUACAACUAUAAUAUCAUGUCAUCUGUAUUAUAUUUAAGUAGAAAUAGCAAGAAUUCUUUUUUCUUUUUAAAUAGAAAUAAAAGAUAGAUAUACUCAUAUACCACCUUAUUCAUAUUCAAUAUUGGAAUGUGUCAUUGUCGUAAUAAAUCAACAAAACAAAAAUCCAUCAUACAUUUAUUUUCUGUAUAAUUUCUGAAAAUAAAACAUUGUACUCUAAUUUUCACCUAAUUAAAAUG